rnacentral:misc_RNA from 1 species
GAGUUCUCGUACAGUAGAAAGCUGUUUGUCAUUUUAUCACUUAAAAUUUAUGAAGAAUAAAGUUUUCAUCAAAGCAAUAAAGUUUUCAUCAAAGCACUCUCAAUAAGAGUAAAAUGAAACUUCAAGAGCUCAAAACUAACCAAAAACAAAACACUCUCAUCUUUGGUGAUGACAAUAAAUUGUUAACAAAAGGCAGACAGAAAACAUUCAUUUACCUGCAGGUCUGGAGUGCUAUGAGG